rnacentral:rRNA from 1 species
GACGAACUUAUCAGCGGUCUCCACGCCUGCUUCCGUUCCGGCCUAAUAUAGAAAUCACUAUGGAAGCCAAUCCGGCACUUUGAACAGGAACGUUUCAAAGGCUUCCGUGCAGCCGGUAUAAAUCGCCUGUCGGUAGGUAUCCAGAGUUUCAAUCCCCAGCACCUGCAAGCCUGGGCCGGGUACAUUCACAGGCCGAAGCC